CGAAUCCCGCGAUCACUUCGAAGCAAGCGGUUCUCCUGAUCGGAUGUAAAAGUGAUUAAUAGAGCUCGGUAGACAAGAGUUCAUUUAAGUGUAAUAAAAAAGUGAAAAGUACAGAAAAAAGAUACAAACUUAUUUCAACAUAUUGUACCCUGAGAAAGAAGCAAUUUUAUAUAUGGGACCCGUUUAAGGAAAAGGUUUAAACUAUUAAAGACAGUUCAGAAAACUGUACCACUUGAUUACAAGGACUACAUUUACACCGUAUUGCUCACAUCUGUCAUCUUAAAUAAUUCGUGGACCGUCAUUAAAGGAACCAACAAGCGAAAGAAAUUAUCACUACUAUGACUCGCAGGAAAGUUUUGUACGCACAUGCAGGCGCACGAAUGUGGCAAAACAAAAAAUUGUGUGAUUAUAAAAAAUAUGUAUAAUAAUUUAUAAUAUGUAUAUGUACGAGUAUAUAUGUAUCAUAUAAAUUCUAGGAGUUACGUUAAGUACAAAUGUAUUAAAAACAAUAGUAAUGAUAACGUGUUAGCAUGGUAAAAAAUAGAGUUUAAGCAGAACAAUUGUUUGAUAAUA